AUGGUUGGGUGUUAGGUGACCCUUUUAUUCAGUUAACUACCAAAUAUUGAAACUAGUUGGCACAGAUUUGUAGAAAAAAAAUCUUUUAUUUAUAACAUAAUUGCACUGGUAGUAUAUCCAUUGAUUUUCAACGUUCCAAGUCCGAGGAACUUCCAUGCCAUCCAAGUUCUCAAUUUUGUAUGCCACUGAUCAUAGAAUUAUCGAGAUUUUGUAAGGGCCCU
rnacentral:lncRNA from 1 species